AUAUCUACCCUUCACUCAAAAGAUCUCCCAAUAGAUCUCCCAACUCUGGCCGUCUUUCACCACCACCAUAAUUGAAACGGAAAGUAAAGAGAUGCCCACUUCAUCUUCAUCUUCCCCUAACCCCUCCAGUCCCAUAAAAUCCAUCACACAUUACAUAGCCUCUUUGCUUUGCUCCUGGCGCGAACCAAUGAGCCACCACUGCCUCCUUCUGCCGGGAUUGUAGGUCAGUAGGGUUCCACCCUUCGGUUUCGAUUAUGUGAUGAGGGUGUAGGUAUGUGGACUGAGGUAAGGAGAUAUUCUAGAUGUUUUCAGGAUUUUAAGCCCAGAAUCAAGAGUAGUCUUCAAGGACCAUACAGAUUAAUUCUUUGUACAGAUCUACCAGUUUGGAAGACGAUGGUUUGCAGUCGCUGGAUUGGAUCACGAGAUUAGAAAUUGCUACCAGAGCUACUGAAGGGUUAGCGUACUUGCAUCAUGACUGCGAUCCUCCCCUUGUUCAUAGAGAUAUUCAACCAAGCAGCAUCCUACUUGACGAUAAAUAUGAUGUAUGUCUUGGAAGCUUGAGUGAAGUUUGUGCUCAAGAAGUCGAUAGUAGUCAGAAUGUUCUCACGAAACUGCUGCAAAUUUCAUUAUGGCAUAGAGGACCUCUACACAAAUGAAUGAACACACGGAACAUUUGUCUCUCGCCACACCCUUUGAGUCUAUUGUGCCCUCUGUCAAGAUUCCGACGGAACCUCUAACUUGUAUUUUACUGACAGACAACCUCGGGAAUGCUUGUCUCACAUGCUUAAGUUAAAGGGUGCUGACAGAACUAUGGGAUCAUUCAAUUUAAAGGAUUCCGUAGAGGAAGCAAAGAUAAUUAGUGAAUCCGGAAAUUACCCAUUGCAAGUUGAAAGGUUUGACUUCCAUACAAGUUGAAAGAAAAAUCUUUAGAAGGGAGGUUGAGGACGAUUCUUAUUUCCUUUGAAUUCUCGCCACGUCGUCUCCUGGCAUCUCGUAAGUUCAUAACCGUUCAAGAUCAAUCACUUCGUCACUCCUCAUAUGGGGAAAGUAAGAACGACGAAACAGAAUGAAUAAAGGUGGAGUUUGCCACCGUCACUCCACCAUCUAAAGCUACCGCAACCACCAGAACCUGCACUCGGUACGAUUAAGGCAAUAAGUGUUCGGUACACAUUGAUUUCAUUCACUUAUUCAUGACCCGUAAAUUGUUUGAUUUCAUUCACUUUCUGUAUCGGCCCGUGCACCUUGCGCAUCAGGCACGUCUUUUUAAACUAGGCGCUUUACCCGAUAUCCUGAAACUCUUUGGUGCAUAAAUUCUUAACUACCAAGUUUGCUAAUCAUACAUUUUGCUCAAACUGCAAAUCAAGAGUUCAAAACUGUUGCCCGACGUGCCAUUCUGAGCUGGGAAACAUACGGUGUUUGGCUUUGCAAAAAGUAGCAGAAUCAUUAGAGCUUCCUUGCAAACUAAAACUUGAGAAAAAUUGUUGAUUUCACCCCUACAAUUUUCCUUAUGUUGGAUUCGAAUGCACAGUCACAUGUGAUAUUCCAAAUCAUCAAUGGAUGCACAUUCAAUUAUUGAAUUGUCAAAUCCAACCCAUCAAAUAAACGGUACUCAUUUAUGUAAGUC